AUGGUUUCAGACAUUCUCUGUGCGCUCUGUGGACUGAUCAUUUUGACUGUUGCGAAUUUAAACGGAGUGAAUGGUCAAAAAAGCCAAUGUAGCAGUUCAGAAUUCUGGAGUACAGACAUAGAUGAGUGUGUAUCCUGCUCAACAUGCCAGAAGUAUCCAAAGACACCUUCAUGUAACACUUGCAAAUUGCCUAAGGAGCCGUCUGAUGAUAUAUGGAAACUGGCAGCUAUUUCCAGCUUCUCCGUGCUGGCAGUGGUUCUGGUUGCUGUAGUAUUGAUCAUUGGAGUCAUGCUGCAUCAACGCAAAGCACAGAGAAGACCCCUUUGUGAACCUAUUGAAGAGACAACAGGACCUCUAUAUCAAGCGUAGACAUUUCAGUAGGUAUGCAUUCCCUAAAUGAGUUGAUGACUGAACCUUGUGGAUGUUUAAUAAUGGUCGAAUUAUUAGGUGGGUAAUUCCAUGAUAAGUGUACAUGUUGGAUAGUGCAACUUUGUACAAAAAAUAUAAUGUCUCCUAUAUUUUUACAUUCUAUCAUGAAAAGCACAUAUUCGACUAUGUAAGAAAACAAAUUUUCUCAACGGGUUUCUAAAACAAGAAACCAGGCAAGCCUAGUUUAGCCUGCCCACAAUAGAAAGUAUUGAUCAUGGCUGCCCUCUCGAGAUUCGAACCCAGGUCGCCCACAUGAAAGACUGUGUCUUUAAACACUACACCACAGAACUGACUGUUUGCCUGUAGUCACUAUAGCAUAUUGACAUUAUAUAAUAUUGUCAUGCAUUAACAUCAUGUCAAGUUUGAAUAUUUCGUUAGACACCAUUAACCAUCGUGUUAAACUGAGUAACGUUUCUUAUUAAGUUUACCUCCACCACAAAUAGUAUCUAUGAACUGCAUGACUUUUGCCACUGGCCGUUUUAAAAUCUUAUUAGCCAGUAAUUUGUCACUAGAUGCCAUUACGCAUUGUGUAAAACUUUGUAAAGUUUCUUAUUUAUUUUAUCACCACCACAAAUAGCAUCUAUUGACUAUAUGGCUUUUGCCACUGGCCAUUUUAACAGCUUAUUAGCCAUUCGUGAAUGACAUUGAUACAGUAACUACUGUAUCAGUAUAGGUGACAAUAACAGACUUUUAGGUCAAGUGAAAAGACGAGAGAAUGGUGUAGCCAGCAAAAUGUUUGACUAUCCUGAAGAAAUCCUAAAACAUAAUUAGAAAAUCCACCAGAAAUAGUCAAAAUAUAACAGUGAACUAGUGACGGCCGUUCUUCUUUUUCUAAAUAAAAGCCAUCAUUAUUCUAUUUAAGGUGAUAUAGUUAACAGUCUAGUCUGUCAAUCUAGUCUGUCAUUUUAUGUUUAAUGCCCAUUCCAAUAUCAGAGUGCUGCCAGCAUAAUAUCCCACUGCUAAAAUAACGCUAAUGAAGCCUGGUUUGGCCAUCACUACAGUAAACAGUUUCAUUUAGGCUUCCCAUAGCUACAGAAGGUUGUAGCCGGCAAAGUUUUUGUCUAUUCUGAACAAAUCCUCUUUCAACUGCUAAUUUGCCAUUUGUGAAUGACAUUGAGUAUCUAUCAAUAUAGGUGACGAUAACUGACUUUUGUCAGGUGAAAAGACAAGAGAAUCAUGUAGGCAGGGAAGUGUUUGUCUAUCCUCAACAUAUCCUAAUACCCACCAGAACUGUUUAUUUUUAGGCUUCCUAUUUAUUUUAGGCUUCCUAUUAUGUAGCUGCUGAAGGUUAUAGCCAGCAAAGUUUUUGCCUGUGCUGAACCACAGGCAUAAUGUGUUCAGACUUUUACGGGAAUCAAAAGCGGGACCGGUUAUUCCGUAGCCCGCAUUUCUAAUCACUGUGCUGAGGGACUCACUCACUCACUCUUUAAGAGUCAUUUGCUCUUCUAGGGCCAGCUCCACUUACGCUCAUCUACUUCAGCAGUGUGAUUUGUCUUGACUUGAGAGUAGAUUUUAUCUGUGAAGUAACACCUUCGCUACAUUUAAACAAGACCACAUUGCAAUCACAAUGAUCAUCUUCAGAAAUUAUUUUCAAAAGCAAGAACACAACUGAAAAUGUGGAGAAAAGUUGGGGCUAGUAUUGGCCUUUAAAUCUGAAAACACAAGGGUUAAAGGGAAAUGCAGAUUUGUAGCACUUUUGUAGUUGAAAUAAAAAGUAUGAUUAUUGAAUUAUCCAUAUUUUAAAAGUAUAUUUAAAUUGCCCAUAUAUUAUAUUAAUGUACAAAAUCAGCAUAAUGUGAAGGAAGGCAACUUUUUUAACAAUAUAUCCCAGGUAUUAUAUGUAAGUAGUUUAAGUCCAUGUAAAGAAUUCUCCACAAAUUGUAAUUCUGUUUAAAAUAAUGAGUAAAGUUAGAGUGAGUCUAACAGAUCUCUCCAUACUUCUGCAGCCUCUUCUUCCUCCUGACCUGGAUUUGACAGAAUCAAGGGAAUCUCUUUGGAUGACCAAUCAAGUUUCUGUACAAUAGACUGUACUCUGACCAAAGGGUAUUAUUUGAGUAGAGUUGGGACAUUGUUUAAUUUAUUGUUCUGUUAGUAAACAUGUUCAUACACUCAGUAUAAAGACUGUUACUGAACGGACCUCCACUUGACUGUGUUACCUUGCGCUGUCAAUCGCCAGUCUUGUAUGCAGCCAGAGAUAACUGAUGCUGUUUUCUGGAGGAAGAUCAUGUGAUUUGGAAAGUAGCUCUUAAAGCUUUUUGCAUUGAUGACCUUUUAGUGGUGAUCCUAAUUUUAGCUUGUGUAGAAUACAAUAAUCGAACGAUUGGUAAUUUGUUCAAUCAAUACGUAGUUUCAAAAACAGUCAAAAGUUGACAGCUUAAUGCUGUUAUUGUUCUAAUGCUAAUUUUCAGUGCUUGGACACCUCUUGGUGUCACAAUACUGUAAAUCUAGGUUAUUACAUUGAAUACCAGCUACAGUACCAUACUGCCUCGACUUGCCAGCAGCAGGAUAACCGUGAAUACAGCACAUUUGUGCUUUCUGGGCCAGGUCUGACCUACUGUACUUCUAUAAGACUAAAAGGUUUCUAUUUGCUGGUCAUAUAUAAUAACCUCUUAGUAACGAAGUAUGCAAGUGAUAUGUUAGAUUAUAAAAUAACUUUUGGGCACAUUUGGGCCAGUUGAAUGUACUUUUUGGGCAAUUUAAUUCUUUUUCCAUGUAGAAACUAUAUGCACUUAUAUUUAUAGAGUUUGAAAUUUGUAACUAAUAAUUUUUUUAAGAAGCAGGAUGGUUUUAGGAUAGUCUGGGAAAGAUGUAGAUGCAGAAAGUAAAAAGCAUAAUUGGUCAUUUUCCAUAAUCAAUUAGAGCUCUAAAAGAUCUGAGUUGGUUCUCAUGGUAAGAUGAAUUGGCUGUAUUUACCUUUAAAACGAUUGCUUACUGUUGUCUUCCAAUUAAGAGGCAAAAGGAAAAAGCAUUCAGUGAAUAUGAAACUACUCACAAGUAUGGGAAUGCUCAUUUACCAUGUAGUGUUGUGUGUGAACACUUCAUGGGAUACGUAGCGUCUGGGUUCCUACACUGUAAUGAUGGAAAAGUUCAAGAUGGUCCAGGAUUCUCCGAGGAUGUUUUUAUAGUUUACCUUCAACCAUUCCCAGCUGGACACAGGGAAUCUGUUGCGCUGUGCUCUCUCUCGUACUCUAGCGUUGAGACAUUGGAGAAGAUCAUUUCUGGAUUCUCUUUCUCACGUGCUCUAGCAUUGAGACAAUUGAGAUUGAUCAAUUCUGGGGUCGCAGAAUGUUUGUAACACUAUUAGUCACCAACUGUUAAACCCGGAACAAAUACUAGUUUAGGGGGGGGGGGAUCAAACCACAUUGACUAGUAUGUCCAUGGUAUUAACUAGCUAGCCCCGUUUAUACUACCCUUUAACAUGCGUCCUUCACCCAAAUCUUGUCUGUUUAAAAGUAUUAUAUAUGGUCACUGUGAGUCACUGAUUGCCUGAACCUGUCUAAAAUCAUGGGCGCAAUCAGAAUUUGGUCCAGACGAGAAUCAAGGACACAUUACAAUCAGUUAUAAACUGGGCUAUUACGUACUCUGAACGCGGAUGGCUGAUUGAUUGGUUAUUUCAUUUUACAGAAAACAAAUUAGCAAUAUUAAGUAAAUAUAAAUGGGCAUGAACAAGGGCAAUUUGACAAAUUUUAUAAAGACAACUUUUGUAUCUAUUUAUUUAUUUUGAAUUAAAUAUUUUAAAAUGUUUAUCAUUGUGGUCACAGAUAAAUGUAUGGAUGCAGUUGAAGGGACCCAUGUAAAGUGGUUUGUAAAAACCUUGUGACAUCCACUGACCAACUUCAUUUGUUACUGAGCAAUAACUAACAUUUGUUUGUGUAGAUAAUCAACUGUUCUUGUCUGUUUGAUUUAUGUACAUGGACUUUGGAAGUAAUUAGUAAUGUUACCAGUGAAUUUAUCUUUGACUUUUGUUAAUAAAAACACUGCCUAAAGAUGGCUAUAACUGGUUUGAAUGAAUCUGAGCCCAAGUACAACUGUGUGUAAGAGACAGCCAGGUUUGGAACCAAUUACUACUGUGGAGAAAAAUCUUGGUUUGGAAAAAGGUUCAGCAUAAAGUUUAGUUUAAAAUGUUCAGAAGAUGGGUUCCAAUUUAAACCUUGAAAUGGC
ensembl:lncRNA